AGCAGCAGGGCUGAAAUAUCUGUCUUGGGCAUCUCUUAUGCCUUCCAGAGGUUUCUUCUGAGAACAUUGAAC
ensembl:miRNA